AGAGGAGGUAUGUAGGGUGCUGUCACAGGACCUAUGUUGAUGGAGAACUUGUUCAACGCAGGCCACACAGCCUCCUUUUGGAUUUCCUCAAUCAGCUUUUCAUCAUCCUCCGUGGGGUUGCUCCAGAGAGAGCACCUGGAACAUUCCUGGCAAGAGGCUCCUGGAAAGAGAGGGUGCUGGUCAUAGCCGUUGAUAGAAACACGACAGACAUAGCACAUCUGGGGACCACAGCGGCAAGACAUGCGGUUGCAGCCUUCAGAUUUGAUGAGGAGGGCCCCACACUGGUGGCAUUUUCUCAUGGGAGGAGCAGUCGUUUUUUGUUUUUUGUUUUUUGUUUUUGAUAGAUGUCCUGUACUUGACGUCAUCUUUUUCAGCCAGCUCCUCACAGGAACUUCUGGGAAGGAACCAUAGAUGUCCUCCUUCCUCACUGAGCAGGAGCAUCAGCUGAACAAGGUGGAAAAAUUGACCCUUCAUCUACAGAUGAUAACAAGGAGAGGAAUGAACUGACCCAUUAUACCAGCAAUGAUUUGAACAGCAGGCAUUCAUCAUGCCCCGUUCUCUGGUGACUGUCUUGACCCUCCUAUGUCAAGCCCAGCAUUCCUCAGGUCAUUGCAGGCUCCACCUCCAGAGUGUCCUUCUGCCCAAAUAAAUUUUCCUGAGUAUAUCUGAGGCAGAACUGAGGCCUGGGCAAGAAUGAGAUGGGGACGCAGGCUGUUCUGCUUCCUCCAAAAGAAAAGCAGAGCCUGUGGCCUGAGUCACAUUCGACUGUUAGGGGCAGUAGUGUGUGAGCUUACAACAUGCAUUUCAAGAAGGUUUGAUAGGUGUUGGCUUGUGGGAGAUGCUGGGUGCUAUGGGUUUAUGGUGUCUGGAGACAUGGCUCAGCAGUUAAGAGCACUGACUGUUCUUCUACAGCAUCUCUGAGUGAAUCCCAGAUUACUGUGUGUGCUUGUGCCUGCUGUGGUGCACGUGGAAAGAUCACAGAACAACUUGCAGAAGCCAGUUCUCUCCUUCCAUCAAG
rnacentral:lncRNA from 1 species